ACGUAGCGUCAACUAGUGGUCAAAUUGCAAAGUUUAGUAGGCGGUUUUCUAUCUUAAAAGUUUUGUUAAAGUGAUUAAAGUAAUGUUUAAUUCUAUUAAAAUAAUGGAAAAAAGAAAAAUAUAUUAUAAAUAUAACAUUUUUAAAACCAGUAAUCAUAAAAAGAGAAGCUGAAGAGAAAGGAAAAUUCUACAAGAAAGAAGAUGUAUACAACCAAUGAUAAUCUGCUCUACAAAAUUAAAGAAAACUCUCCAAGAAGAAUGAAUCUCUACAUGAAUCUACAAACAUGAUCGAACAUCUUCUACGGUAACGCUUCGAAGAAAAAUCUCCUGCUGGUACGAAGAAGAAGAUGGAAUGGAUACUGAUAAGGAUUCCAAGGUUCUCUAAUGAUCAGCGAAU
rnacentral:lncRNA from 1 species